AUGAUGACUCUAGUUCAACUCUUAGGGAUUCUGAUGCUCUGGCUCCAAGGAAUGAGAUGUGACAUUCAGGUGACCCAGUCUCCAUCCACCCUGUCUGCAACAGUGGGAGAUAGAGUCACCAUCAGCUGCAAGGCAAGUCAGAGUAUUAGCCCUUACUUAGCUUGGUACCAGAAAAAAUUUGGGGAAGCUCCAAAACUCCUGAUAUAUAAUGCAAAGAGUUUGCAGUCAGGCAUCCCAUCAAGGUUCAGAGGCAGUGGAUCUGACAAAGAUUUCAGAAUCACCAUCAGCAAUCUGCAGUCUGAAGAUGGUGCCACAUAUUUCUGCCAGCAACACAACAAAGUCCCCUAG